CCUCACGGGAGGGAGCGCGGCCUGGGGUGCGGGUGCUGUGAGUGGUGCUGCGGUGUCGCGUGGAUGGCGCGUGCGGCCGAGUGUGUGUGUGGGUGGAUGUGAGCGUGCGUGGGGCGUGCAAGGCGAGUGCGUGACACCCCCUACGGCCCUCCCCCCGUCUACACCUUGAUCUUAUUUGAUCGGGUUGUGACCCCAGCCCGCCGGGCCGGCCCCAGAGGAAA
rnacentral:ncRNA from 1 species